CCCGCAGGCUGUCCCACCUCUCGCUGCGCAAUAAUGGCCUCGGUGACGAGGCGGCGCGGCUGCUGGGGCUGAGCCUCUCCACCCUCGGCUCCUCCAACCGCAGCCUGGUCUCGCUGGUGCUCAGCUUCAACCACAUCUCGGAUUUGGGAGCGGGGCACAUCGCCCAGGUGGGGGCUAUGGGGUGGGCGAGGGGGGGCCCCGCUGUCUGUGUGCCCCCCCCCCUUCCCCUCUCAGCUUUUUCUGUGCGCCCCCCAUCCCCAAGGGUUUGCGCUGGAACCGCUCGCUGCUGUCGCUGUCCCUGGCGCACAAUGACAUUGGGGAUGAGGGGGCUCUGCGGCUGGCUCAGGUGCUGGCUCCUUUCGCUCUGACGCACGCCGAGGUGGUGGAACGGCGGCGGCUGCUGCUGGCGGAGGCCAUGGAGAAGCCCCAGGCGCCCGAGGGCAGGAGCGAGCGCGCCCCGAGCCUGCAGAGCGGCGCGGCCACCGAGAGGCUGCUCCCGGCCAAGCACAGCAAGAGCACGGCCAAAAAGAAGGAGCUGCCGCGGAAGGACGAGCUGAAACAGCCCAAAAAAUCUGUGACAGCCCCUGCAGACCCCCGGCCCCCCCGAAGCCGCAGUGCCAAAGCCACCAGCAAGGAGAAGCGCAGCUCGGAGGCGAGUGGGGUGAGGAGGGGGGGGGCUGGGGGACACGGCCCUAUUUUUUGGGCCCCCCCCUCACCCUCAGCACCCCCCCAUCGCCCCCUCCCCAGGCGCAGGAUGCGGCCGAGCCCUCGCACCCGCUGCUGGAGCCGGCGUGGCACCGCCAGGGCCAGGUCGUGGUGCCGGGGAACCGAGCGCUGCUCAACCUCAACCUGUGCCAUAACCGCAUCACGGAGCGGGGGCUGGCUGCUUUCCUGGCUGUGCUGCAGGAGGAGCAGCCGGGGGGGGGGCACGGGGAGGCCGGGGCUGCUGCGCCUCUCGCUGCAGGUGAGCUGGGGGGGGGACACAUGGGGGGGGGACACAAGGGGGGGGACACGGCCACAUCCCCGCUGUCCCCGCAGAGGAACCGCUUCAAUCCCACCUGCGAGGCUUUCGCCCAGCUCCAGGAGCUGCUGCAGCGGCGCGACCCCGUCCCCAAACCGCGGGAGGAGCAGGCGCCGGGUCCUUAAAGCAGGAUUCGGGGCUCUUUUUUGGGGUGAAAAACCCCAAAAAAAGGCAAAACCGAAAAAUCUUGACUGUGGGGAGGAAGGAAAUAAAGCACCGUGCACAGGAUUGAACAGCAACCGGUCGGGCUUGGCUCUAUUAUAUAUAAUAUAUAUACCACACCC
rnacentral:lncRNA from 1 species